GUCCUUUUGAUUUUUAUAUAAGGUCUGACCUGCCCUAUGAAUAUUUAAAUGGCCGCGGUAUACUAACCGUGCAAAGGUAGCAUAGUCAUUUGUCUCUUAAUUGGAGGCUUGAAUGAAGGGUUGGACGAGAUAUAAGCUUUCUUUGUUAUAUUUUAUUGAAUUUGACUUUUGAGUUAAAAGGCUUAAAUUUUUUUAUAGGACGAGAAGACCCUAUAGAAUUUUAUAUGUUUGUAUAAUUAAUUUAUUUAUUUAUUAUUUAAUUUCUUGUUUAAAUAUAUUUUGUUGGGGCGAUGGGAAGAUUUUAAUAACUCUUUUUUGUUUUGAUCAUUGAUUUAUGUUUUAUUCUGAUCCUUUUUUAGAGAUUAUAAGAUUAAAUUACCUUAGGGAUAACAGCGUAAUUCUUUUGGAGAGCUCUUAUCGAUAAAAGAGUUUGCGA
rnacentral:rRNA from 1 species